GGGCUCGUGGUCUAGGGGUUAUGACGUCGCCUUGACAUGGCGGAGGCCGCCGGUUCAAAUCCGGCCGAGCCCA
rnacentral:tRNA from 1 species